UCAAAGGCAGAAAGAAGGUGGCUGCUGUUGAGGCAAAUAAAGAGAAGAAAGGUGAACUGCACCCAGAGACAUUCAGCUCUUUGCUCUUCUAAAGUGGCUACCUAAAAGAUUAAUGAAUGGAUGAACAUUCAUUUUGAGAGUUUGAAGCCUCUUCAUAAGCCUAGUUGUUCUCAGGUGACUCUGUUUGUGUUUUGAGAUGGGUGGUUAUGGGGAAAGGGGUCAAGGACGAAGAUUGUCAGAUACUGGCAAACCUUCAGAGCAUCCUCCAUCUCACUAAUAGGUGGGGAAGUGUAGCCAUCACACCUUUUAGUGACUGAUUGUUACACGGUGUCUACAAAUCAGAACUAAAGAAGAAAAAUAAUAACUUGCCUUCAGUACUUCUGGUCACCCAAAAUGGUUACCUUUCCUCAACCCUGGUUCCAUAUUCCACCGAUGACAUCACUUCCAACUCCCCCGAGAUGAUGUCACUUCUGGGCCCCCCUUACGAUGUCACUUCCAGCUCUGCCAUGAUGGCGUCACUUCCGGGCCGCACCAUGAUGAUGUCAAAUCUUUCAAACCGCUUUUGAUGUAAUUUCUUGUAAUCUCAUUUCCUGCCACCAUUUUGUUAUAAAAACAAGUUGUUUUCACUGCUCUGUAUCAAAUACUUUUAUUUAUUUUUUUUUUAUCCAUAUUUCGCUAUUUCUUUGCAUCUUGUCCAUGGACAUUAUACAGGGUCAAUCUUUUUGAGACUGCCUGAGUGAUUUAAUUCUAUUACAACUGAUAACAGGAAAUUAUGUUUUUCCUUUACAGUAUUAAACCGGACACUUUUUAUUUAAACACAGUCCUAUCUAGUAUAUUGAAAAGAUGUUACUUGUACAACCUGUACUGGAUGUAGUUCAUAAAUCAUUAGAGUUUUCUCUCUAAAUCAGUGUUUGCCCUGAAUGUACAUAAAAAUUAUAAUCUACUUUCCAAUAUAGCUUUUCUUCCUAAAAUUUCAGAAAAAAGUAAGAAUAUCUCUUCUCAUAAAAUGUAAUAUUUAUGAGAAAUCCCAGUUUAGAUUUUACCCUAGUCACAUCAUAGAAGCUGAUGUAUGUUUCAAAUGAUGUUUUAAUCUCCUUCAGUGCUGGAAAUGACAGAAUUGUUUUUUUUUUUUAAACCUAACUACAAGUUUUCAUACACUUGAUCAUAGCAUUUUUGUACAUCAUCUUCAGAAUUUA